AACUGCUGGACAAGGAGUGUUCUGUUGAGCUCAUUUUCACACGAUGAACAACUGGCUUAGAACUGAUUCGGGCAAGGGGAAUCCGACUGUUUAAUUGAAACAAAGCAUUGCGAGGGCCUCAAAGGGUGGUGCCACAAUGUGAUUUCUGCCCAGUGCUCUGAAUGUCAAAGUGAGGAAAUUCAACUAAGCGCGGGUAAACGGCGGGAGUAACUAUGACUCUCUUAAGGURGCCAAAUGCCUCGUCAUCCAAUUAGUGACGCGCAUGAAUGGAUUAAUGAGAUUCCCACUGUCCCCAUCUACUGUCCAGCGAAACCACAGCCAAGGGAACGGGCUUGGGUAAAUCAGCGGGGAAAGAAGACCCUGUUGAGCUUGACUCUAAUCUGACUUUGUGAAAUGACUUAGGAGGUGUAGGAUAUGUGGGAGCUCUGGUGAUCUUGAAAUACCACUACUCUUAAUGUCACUUUACUUACUCUAUCAGACUGUGGCNUGCUUCCCAGCAGGUUUUUGUUUCAAGGCAUCUCAUCUGACUUGUUGACUUGCGUAGAGGACGUAGUCAGGUGGGCAGUUUGGCUGGGGCGGCACAUCUGUUAAAGGAUAACGCAGGUGUCCCAAGGUAAGCUCAAGGAGAACAGAAAUCUCAUGUGGAUCAGAAGGGGAAAUGCUUGCUUGAUUUUGCUUUUCAGUGUGAAGACAAACUGUGCAAACAUGGCCUAUCGAUCCUUUGG
rnacentral:rRNA from 1 species